GCCGUUGUAGCUCAGUUGGUAGAGCAAUUAAUUCGUAAUUAAUAGGUCCACAGUUCAAUUCUGUGCAACGGCA
rnacentral:tRNA from 1 species